CCCGUUGAAACACCGGAUCUAGUGUGAUCCCCGAAGUUAAGCAACGUUGACCCAGGUCAGUAUCUAGAUUGGUGAACGCUUGGAAAUACCAGAUGCUGUUA